CGAACGAUGAACCGGCUUCGGCCGGGGAUUAGUGGCGAACGGGUGAGUAACACGUGGGCAAUCUGCCCUGCACUCUGGGACAAGCCCUGGAAACGGGGUCUAAUACCGGAUACGACACGCUCAGGCAUCUGAUGCGUGUGGAAAGCUCCGGCGGUGCAGGAUGAGCCCGCGGCCUAUCAGCUUGUUGGUGAGGUAAUGGCUCACCAAGGCGACGACGGGUAGCCGGCCUGAGAGGGCGACCGGCCACACUGGGACUGAGACACGGCCCAGACUCCUACGGGAGGCAGCAGUGGGGAAUAUUGCACAAUGGGCGCAAGCCUGAUGCAGCGACGCCGCGUGAGGGAUGACGGCCUUCGGGUUGUAAACCUCUUUCAGCAGGGAAGAAGCGAAAGUGACGGUACCUGCAGAAGAAGCGCCGGCUAACUACGUGCCAGCAGCCGCGGUAAUACGUAGGGCGCGAGCGUUGUCCGGAAUUAUUGGGCGUAAAGAGCUCGUAGGCGGCUUGUCGCGUCGGUUGUGAAAGCCCGGGGCUUAACCCCGGGUCUGCAGUCGAUACGGGCAGGCUAGAGUUCGGUAGGGGAGAUCGGAAUUCCUGGUGUAGCGGUGAAAUGCGCAGAUAUCAGGAGGAACACCGGUGGCGAAGGCGGAUCUCUGGGCCGAUACUGACGCUGAGGAGCGAAAGCGUGGGGAGCGAACAGGAUUAGAUACCCUGGUAGUCCACGCCGUAAACGGUGGGCACUAGGUGUGGGCAACAUUCCACGUUGUCCGUGCCGCAGCUAACGCAUUAAGUGCCCCCGCCUGGGGAGUAC
rnacentral:rRNA from 1 species